rnacentral:tRNA from 1 species
GCCGGAGAGAUGGCUCAGUGGUUAAGAGCACUGACUGCUCUUCCAGAGGUCCUGAGUUCAAUUCCCAGCAACGACA